rnacentral:misc_RNA from 1 species
GCAGAAGGAUCAUUAGUGAAGAUUCAAGGGCCAGCCAUACAGACGUACAAUAAGUGUGUCUCUGGCGGCUCGUAUCCACUAUACAUCCAUAAACCCGUGUGCACUGUUAAGGAGUAAGAAAGAAGAAGGGGAAGGGAGAGUGCAUGUGCUUUGCAUAUAACUCUCUCUCUCUCUUCCUUUCUCUCUCUGGUUAAUUACAAACUCGUAUGGAUUUGUAUGAACGUGAGAUAUAUCGUUGGACCGUCACUGGCCAACAAAUAUAACACAACUUUCGACAACGGAUCUCUUGGUUCUCCCA